UACGUAGGGGGCAAGCGUUUGUCCGGAAUCAUUGGGCGUAAAGCGCGUGUAGGCGGCUCGGUAAGUCUGCUGUGAAAGUCCAGGGCUCAACCCUGGAAAGCCGGUGGAAACUGUCGAGCUAGAGUCCGGAAGAGGCGAGUGGAAUUCCUGGUGUAGCGGUGAAAUGCGCAGAUAUCAGGAGGAACACCAAUGGCGAAGGCAGCUCGCUGGAACGGUACUGACGCUGAGACGCGAAAGCGUGGGGAGCGAACAGG
rnacentral:rRNA from 1 species